UACGUAGGGAGCGAGCGUUGUCCGGAUUCAUUGGGCGUAAAGAGCUCGUAGGCGGCUUGAUAAGUCGGAUGUGAAACCUCCAGGCUCAACCUGGAGUCGCCAUCCGAUACUGUCAUGGCUAGAGUCCGGUAGGGGCCCACGGAAUUCCUGGUGUAGCGGUGAAAUGCGCAGAUAUUAGGAGGAACACCGGUGGCGAAGGCGGUGGGCUGGGCCGGCACUGACGCUGAGGAGCGAAAGCGUGGGGAGCGAACAGG
rnacentral:rRNA from 1 species